AUUUGAUGGGCCUAUGUCUGCUUUUGUGGCAUUAUAGCAAUUUGAGUGUUCAAAUAACCCAACAAAGACCUACUAUUCGAGAAAGCAGACACUCCAGGGUAUUUUAUAUGGCGUAUAUUGUGCCUAAACGUGCUGCCAUUUUUUCACCAAUUUAUGUCAAGAUUUGUGGUAAGAAACAAAAAAAAGGCAUAAUUUUACAUAAAUGUUGCAUUUUUGCUGGGUAUUUCGUACAUUUGAUAUGUGCCACUAUCAC